CAGUCUGGUGCCAGCAAGCCGCGGUAAUUCCAGCUCCCAAUAGCGUAUAUUAAAGUUGUUGCAGUUAAAAAGCUCGUAGUUGAAUUUCGGGGUUAGUAGGUUGGUCAUGCCUCUGGUAUGUACUGGUCUCACUGACUCCUCCCUUCCUGAUGAGCCGUAAUGCCAUUAAUUUGGUGUUGCGGGGAAUUUGGACUGUUACUUUGAAAAAAUUAGAGUGUUUAAAGCAAGCUGACGCUUGAAUACAUUAGCAUGGAAUAAUGAAAUAGGACGUUCGAUCCUAUUUUGUUGGUUUCUAGGAUUGACGUAAUGAUUAAUAGGGAUAGUUGGGGGCAUUAGUAUUCAAUUGUCAGAGGUGAAAUUCUUGGAUUUAUUGAAGACUAACUACUGCGAAAGCAUUUGCCAAGGAUGUUUUCAUUAAUCAAGAACGAAAGUUAGGGGAUCGAAGACGAUCAGAUACCGUCGUAGUCUUAACCAUAAACUAUGCCGACUAGGGAUCGGAUGAUGUUAAUUUUUUAAUGACUCA
rnacentral:rRNA from 2 species